GCCCUCGUGGUGCAGUGGUCAGCACCCUCGGCUGACCACUGCACUACGGCUCGUAUUCGAGAGGUCCAUGGUUCGAGUCCCGGCGAGGGCA
rnacentral:tRNA from 1 species